GAGUAACACGUUGGAACCUGCCCCAAAGUGAGGGAUAAGCCACCGAAAGGUGGUCUAAUACUUCAUAAUAUCCAUCUCGUAUGGAUUAAAGCUUUAUGCGCUUUGGGAGGGGCCUGCGUAACAUUAGCUUGUUGGUGAGGUAAAAGCUCACCAAGGCUUCGAUGUUUAACUGGUUUGAGAGGAUGACCAGUCACACUGGGACUGAGAUACGGCCCAGACUCCUACGGGAGGCAGCAGUAAGGAAUCUUCCACAAUGGGGCAACCCUGAUGGAGCAAUACCGCGUGCAGGAUGAAGCGUUUCGGCGUGUAAACUGCUUUUAUCACCGAAGAUUAUGACUGUAGGUGAAGAAUAAGGACCGGCUAACUACGUG
rnacentral:rRNA from 1 species